rnacentral:rRNA from 1 species
GACGAACGCUGGCGGCGUGCUUAACACAUGCAAGUCGAACGGAAAGGCCCUGCUUUUGUGGGGUGCUCGAGUGGCGAACGGGUGAGUAACACGUGAGUAACCUGCCCUUGACUUCGGGAUAACUUCAGGAAACUGGGGCUAAUACCGGAUAGGAGCUCCUGCUGCAUGGUGGGGGUUGGAAAGUUUCGGCGGUUGGGGAUGGACUCGCGGCUUAUCAGCUUGUUGGUGGGGUAGUGGCUUACCAAGGCUUUGACGGGUAGCCGGCCUGAGAGGGUGACCGGCCACAUUGGGACUGAGAUACGGCCCAGACUCCUACGGGAGGCAGCAGUGGGGAAUAUUGCACAAUGGGCGGAAGCCUGAUGCAGCAACGCCGCGUGCGGGAUGACGGCCUUCGGGUUGUAAACCGCUUUCGCCUGUGACGAAGCGUGAGUGACGGUAAUGGGUAAAGAAGCACCGGCUAACUACGUGCCAGCAGCCGCGGUGAUACGUAGGGUGCGAGCGUUGUCCGGAUUUAUUGGGCGUAAAGGGCUCGUAGGUGGUUGAUCGCGUCGGAGGUGUAAUCUUGGGGCUUAACCCUGAGCGUGCUUUCGAUACGGGUUGACUUGAGGAAGGUAGGGGAGAAUGGAAUUCCUGGUGGAGCGGUGGAAUGCGCAGAUAUCAGGAGGAACACCAGUGGCGAAGGCGGUUCUCUGGGCCUUUCCUGACGCUGAGGAGCGAAAGCGUGGGGAGCGAACAGGCUUAGAUACCCUGGUAGUCCACGCUGUAAACGGUGGGUACUAGGUGUGGGGUCCAUUCCACGGGUUCCGUGCCGUAGCUAACGCUUUAAGUACCCCGCCUGGGGAGUACGGCCGCAAGGCUAAAACUCAAAGGAAUUGACGGGGCCCCGCACAAGCGGCGGAGCAUGCGGAUUAAUUCGAUGCAACGCGUAGAACCUUACCUGGGUUUGACAUGGAUCGGGAGUGCUCAGAGAUGGGUGUGCCUCUUUUGGGGUCGGUUCACAGGUGGUGCAUGCCUGUCGUCAGCUCGUGUCGUGAGAUGUUGGGUUAAGUCCCGCAACGAGCGCAACCCUUGUUCACUGUUGCCAGCACGUUAUGGUGGGGACUCAGUGGAGACCGCCGGGGUCAACUCGGAGGAAGGUGGGGAUGACGUCAAGUCCUCAUGCCCCUUAUGUCCAGGGCUUCACGCAUGCUACAAUGGCUGGUACAGAGAGUGGCGAGCCUGUGAGGGUGAGCGAAUCUCGGAAAGCCGGUCUCAGUUCGGAUUGGGGUCUGCAACUCGACCUCAUGAAGUCGGAGUCGCUAGUAAUCGCAGAUCAGCAACGCUGCGGUGAAUACGUUCCCGGG